GGUAAAGCUGUGGAUGACAAGUGUGACACGAAAUUAGAUGUCAUCAGACAAGAAAUAGAGGACUUGACGAUAGAACAAUGUGGCAGAUUUGUUUGUCCAAUGUGUAGUGUAUAUAUCUAUGGAUUUCGCUACACAGGAAAGAAAGGCGUUAUGUGCUUGGAAUGCUGGAAAGAAUAUAUUUUGAGUUGGUAUACUUAAGUGAAGUGGUGUUUGAGAAUCAAAUCUAGCAAUCAAGAAUUUGGAGUCUCGAUCUUCGACACUUG
rnacentral:sRNA from 1 species